CUCAAGUUCAAAAUGCACUCUUAGAAACAAGUAAAGCAGAUGCGAGAGGGUGGUAAGAUCUCUGGAAUCAAGUAGUUAGUCAAGUAUUUUCAAAACUCAAUCCCAAACAACAUAGAGAGGAUGAACAACACUUCUUCAGAAAAUUAAACACCAGCUAAGCUAUGUGACACAAGUUUCUUUAACAUUAGAAAAGCAAUAAGAAAAAAAAAA
rnacentral:misc_RNA from 1 species